CCUACGGGCGUCAGCAGUAGGGAAUAUUGCUCAAUGGGGGAAACCCUGAAGCAGCAACGCCGCGUGGAGGAUGAAGGUUUUCGGAUUGUAAACUUCUUUUGUUAGAGAAGAUUAUGACGGUAUCUAACGAAUAAGCACCGGCUAACUCCGUGCCAGCAGCCGCGGUAAUACGGAGGGUGCAAGCGUUACUCGGAAUCACUGGGCGUAAAGAGUGCGUAGGCGGGGUAAUAAGUCAGAUGUGAAAUCCUGUAGCUUAACUACAGAACUGCAUUUGAAACUGUUACUCUGGAGGGUGGGAGAGGUAGGUGGAAUUCUUGGUGUAGGGGUAAAAUGCGUAGAGAUCAAGAGGAAUACUCAGUGCGAAGGCGACCUGCUGGAACGUUACUGACGCUGAUGCACGAAAGCGUGGGGAGCAAACAGGAUUAGAUACCCCAGUAGUC
rnacentral:rRNA from 1 species